UACGUAGGGUGCGAGCGUUAAUCGGAAUUACUGGGCGUAAAGCGUGCGCAGGCGGUUCGUUGUGUCCGUCGUGAAAGCCCCGGGCUUAACCUGGGAACUGCGAUGGAAACUAGCGAGCUGGAGUGCGGUAGAGGAUGGUGGAAUUCCCGGUGUAGCGGUGAAAUGCGCAGAUAUCGGGAAGAACACCCGUGGCGAAGGCGGCUCUCUGGGACGGUACUGACGCUGAGACGCGAAAGCGUGGGGAGCGAACAGG
rnacentral:rRNA from 1 species